GAGAAUGCCGGUGUGAGUAGCGAAAGACGGGUGAGAAUCCCGUCCACCGAUUGACUAAGGUUUCCAGAGGAAGGCUCGUCCGCUCUGGGUUAGUCGGGUCCUAAGCUGAGGCCGACAGGCGUAGGCGAUGGAUAACAGGUUGAUAUUCCUGUACCACCUAUAAUCGUUUUAAUCGAUGGGGGGACGCAGUAGGAUAGGCGAAGCGUGCGAUUGGAUUGCACGUCUAAGCAGUAAGGCUGAGUAUUAGGCAAAUCCGGUACUCGUUAAGGCUGAGCUGUGAUGGGGAGAAGACAUUGUGUCUUCGAGUCGUUGAUUUCACACUGCCGAGAAAAGCCUCUAGAUAGAAAAUAGGUGCCCGUACCGCAAACCGACACAGGUAGUCAAGAUGAGAAUUCUAAGGUGAGCGAGCGAACUCUCGUUAAGGAACUCGGCAAAAUGACCCCGUAACUUCGGGAGAAGGGGUGCUCUUUAGGGUUAACGCCCAGAAGAGCCGCAGUGAAUAGGCCCAAGCGACUGUUUAUCAAAAACACAGGUCUCUGCUAAACCGUAAGGUGAUGUAUAGGGGCUGACGCCUGCCCGGUGCUGGAAGGUUAAGAGGAGUGGUUAGCUUCUGCGAAGCUACGAAUCGAAGCCCCAGUAAACGGCGGCCGUAACUAUAACGGUCCUAAGGUAGCGAAAUUCCUUGUCGGGUAAGUUCCGACCCGCACGAAAGGCGUAACGAUUUGGGCACUGUCUCAACGAGAGACUCGGUGAAAUCAUAGUACCUGUGAAGAUGCAGGUUACCCGCGACAGGACGGAAAGACCCCGUGGAGCUUUACUGUAGCCUGAUAUUGAAAUUCGGCACAGCUUGUACAGGAUAGGUAGGAGCCUUUGAAACGUGAGCG
rnacentral:rRNA from 1 species